UGGGGAAUUUUGGACAAUGGGGGAAACCCUGAUCCAGCCAUCCCGCGUGUGCGAUGAAGGCCUUCGGGUUGUAAAGCACUUUUGGCAGGAAAGAAACGACAUGGGUUAAUACCCCGUGAAACUGACGGUACCUGCAGAAUAAGCACCGGCUAACUACGUGCCAGCAGCCGCGGUAAUACGUAGGGUGCAAGCGUUAAUCGGAAUUACUGGGCGUAAAGCGUGCGCAGGCGGUUCGGAAAGAAAGAUGUGAAAUCCCAGAGCUCAACUUUGGAACUGCAUUUUUAACUACCGGGCUAGAGUGUGUCAGAGGGAGGUGGAAUUCCGCGUGUAGCAGUGAUAUGCGUAGAUAUGCGGAGGAAAACCGAUGGCGAUGGCAGCCUCCUGGGAUAACACUGACGCUCAUGCACGAAAGCGAGGGGAGCGAACAGG
rnacentral:rRNA from 1 species